rnacentral:sRNA from 1 species
AUGCCGCUGCCCGUUGCGCUGCAGACCCGCUUGGCCAAGAGAGGCAUCCUCAAACAUCUGGAGCCUGAACCAGAGGAAGAGAUCAUUGCCGAGGACUAUGACGAUGAUCCUGUGGACUACGAGGCCACCAGGUUGGAGGGCCUACCACCAAGCUGGUACAAGGUGUUCGACCCUUCCUGCGGGCUCCCUUACUACUGGAAUGCAGACACAGACCUUGUAUCCUGGCUCUCCCCACAUGACCCCAACUCCGUGGUUACCAAAUCGGCCAAGAAGCUCAGAAGCAGUAAUGCAGAUGCUGAAGAAAAGUUGGACCGGAGCCAUGACAAGUCGGACAGGGGCCAUGACAAGUCGGACCGCAGCCAUGAGAAACUAGACAGGGGCCACGACAAGUCAGACCGGGGCCACGACAAGUCUGACAGGGAUCGAGAGCGUGGCUAUGACAAGGUAGACAGAGAGAGAGAGCGAGACAGGGAACGGGAUCGGGACCGCGGGUAUGACAAGGCAGACCGGGAAGAGGGCAAAGAACGGCGCCACCAUCGCCGGGAGGAGCUGGCUCCCUACCCCAAGAGCAAGAAGGGUAAGCUGGGCAGAAUGGGGCUCGGUGAGACCAACAAGGUGCAGGGUGCACUGCAUGAGGAUGCCUUCCCUCAAAAAGAUGCCUGGACCUGGGGCUAGAGGAGGGUGCUGUGGUACAUGGCAGCCAGGGGCUUCAUUUCUUCUUGUGGGGUGGGGCUCAGUGAUCAGGGGCUCCUGGUGCCUCUAUUGAAGACUUUGCCCUGCCACUUCCACAGCAGUAAGCCGAAAGGAUGAAGAGUUAGACCCCAUGGACCCUAGCUCAUACUCAGACGCCCCCCGGUAAGUGACAACCCCUCUUGACUCAGUACGUGGACACCAUCCUCCGGCCUCCUUCCUCCAUUCCUCAUUGGGACCAGGUGGGCUGUGUCCGCCACAUCACCCAUCCCCAUCCCCUGACUCUUUCACCGGCAGGGGCACGUGGUCAACAGGACUCCCCAAGCGGAAUGAGGCCAAGACUGGCGCUGACACCACAGCAGCUGGGCCCCUCUUCCAGCAGCGGCCGUAUCCAUCCCCAGGGGCUGUGCUCCGGGCCAAUGCAGAGGCCUCCCGAACCAAGCAGCAGGAUUGA